ACAAAAAUGACUCUCUUAAUUUUUGGUUACAGAUUUGUUAAAUCACUAUCCAAGUACCGGUAUGUGACUCGAGAUAACAAUUUAGAUUAGAUUUUAUCAUGUAAACAAGAGACGACUGUAAAACAAAAAUAUUGGCUAUUCAUAAGUAAAAGUACUCUAGCUAGGAUACAAAAGGGAACAGCCAAUCUGCAAAAUAUUUUCAAAUUUCUUUAAUCAACUUUUAAAGAGUUUCACAAAUUUGUUUUUUUUUUCCACUUCAGGAUUUUCUUUAAAACUUUUCUUUAACAUUGAAGUAAAAUAAAAAAAUAAUAUAAUGAACGUCUGCCUAGUAACAAAUGUUAGCACAAAUUUAACACUUGUUAUAUUGGAAUACAAUGAAAACUACACGUAACUGAAUGACUAUUACAUUAGAUUACAAGAAAUAAAUAGCAUAAAUAAUUAGAACAGGGGCCUAUUUUUUUUUUUCCGCUUUCAUAUAGUUGAACAGAAUGUUUUUAAAA